ACACGACUACAUUAGAUACCCGUGUAGUCCCAGCCCUAAACGAUGCGCGUUAGGUGUAUCGGUGACCACGAGUCACCGAGGUGCCGAAGGGAAACCGUGAAACGUGCCGCCUGGGAAGUACGGUCGCAAGGCUGAAACUUAAAGGAAUUGGCGGGGAGCACCACAAGAGGUGGAGGCUGCGGUUCAAUUGGACUCAACGCCGGAAAACUCAUCGGGAGCGACAGCAGUAUGAUUGCCAGGUUGAUGACCUUGCUUGACAAGCUG
rnacentral:rRNA from 1 species